UACGGGGGGGGCAAGCGUUGUUCGGAAUUACUGGGCGUAAAGGGCUCGUAGGCGGCCAACUAAGUCGGAUGUGAAAUCCCCAGGCUCAACUUGGGAACUGCAUCCGAUACUGGAUGGCUUGAAUUCGGGAGAGGGAUGCAGAAUUCCAGGUGUAGCGGUGAGAUGCGUAGAUAUCUGGAGGAAUACCGGUGGCGAAGGCGGCAUCCUGGACCGACAUUGACGCUGAGGAGCGAAAGCUAGGGGAGCAAACGGG
rnacentral:rRNA from 1 species